GUCUACGGCCAUACCACUCUGAACAUGCCCGAUCUCAUCUGAUCUCAGACGCUAAGCAGAGUUGGGCCUGGUUAGUACUUUGAUGGGAGAAAAUGCCUCUAUAACGUUUUGGGCUGUAGGCA
rnacentral:rRNA from 1 species